AGAGUUUGAUCAUGGCUCAGGACGAACGCUGGCGGCACGCUUAACACAUGCAAGUCGAACGAGAGAAGAGGAGCUUGCUUUUCUGAUCUAGUGGCGGACGGGUGAGUAACACGUGAGCAAUCUGCCUUUCAGAGGGGGAUACCGAUUGGAAACGAUCGUUAAUACCGCAUAACAUAAUUGAACCGCAUGAUUUGAUUAUCAAAGAUUUAUCGCUGAAAGAUGAGCUCGCGUCUGAUUAGCUAGUUGGUAAGGUAACGGCUUACCAAGGCGACGAUCAGUAGCCGGACUGAGAGGUUGAUCGGCCACAUUGGGACUGAGACACGGCCCAGACUCCUACGGGAGGCAGCAGUGGGGAAUAUUGCACAAUGGAGGAAACUCUGAUGCAGCGAUGCCGCGUGAGGGAAGAAGGUUUUAGGAUUGUAAACCUCUGUCUUCAGGGACGAAAAAAGACGGUACCUGAGGAGGAAGCUCCGGCUAACUACGUGCCAGCAGCCGCGGUAAUACGUAGGGAGCGAGCGUUGUCCGGAAUUACUGGGUGUAAAGGGAGCGUAGGCGGGAUCGCAAGUCAGAUGUGAAAACUAUGGGCUUAACCCAUAAACUGCAUUUGAAACUGUGGUUCUUGAGUGAAGUAGAGGUAAGCGGAAUUCCUAGUGUAGCGGUGAAAUGCGUAGAUAUUAGGAGGAACAUCAGUGGCGAAGGCGGCUUACUGGGCUUUAACUGACGCUGAGGCUCGAAAGCGUGGGGAGCAAACAGGAUUAGAUACCCUGGUAGUCCACGCCGUAAACGAUGAUUACUAGGUGUGGGGGGACUGACCCCUUCCGUGCCGCAGCAAACGCAAUAAGUAAUCCACCUAGGGAGUACGACCGCAAGGUUGAAACUCAAAGGAAUUGACGGGGGCCCGCACAAGCAGUGGAGUAUGUGGAUUAAUUCGAAGCAACGCGAAGAACCUUACCAGGUCUUGACAUCGUAUGCAUAGCUCAGAGAUGAGUGAAAUCUCUUCGGAGACAUAUAGACAGGUGGUGCAUGGUUGUCGUCAGCUCGUGUCGUGAGAUGUUGGGUUAAGUCCCGCAACGAGCGCAACCCUUACUGUUAGUUGCUACGCAAGAGCACUCUAGCAGGACUGCCGUUGACAAAACGGAGGAAGGUGGGGAUGACGUCAAAUCAUCAUGCCCCUUAUGACCUGGGCCUCACACGUACUACAAUGGCUGUCAACAGAGGGAAGCAAAGCCGCGAGGUGGAGCGAACCCCUAAAAGCAGUCUUAGUUCGGAUUGUAGGCUGCAACCCGCCUACAUGAAGUCGGAAUUGCUAGUAAUCGCAGAUCAGCAUGCUGCGGUGAAUACGUUCCCGGGCCUUGUACACACCGCCCGUCACGCCAUGGGAGUCGGUAACACCCGAAGCCUGUAGUCUAACCGCAAGGAGGACGCAGUCAAAGGUGGGAUUGAUGACUGGGGUGAAGUCGUAACAAGGUA
rnacentral:rRNA from 1 species